CGAUUAGGGUUCGAUUCUGGCUCAGGAUGAACGCUGGCGGCGUGCUUAACACAUGCAAGUCGAACGGAGCUAUGACACGGAGUCUUCGGAUGAAGUGCUGUAGCUUAGUGGCGGACGGGUGAGUAACACGUGAGCAACCUACCUUUUGCAGGGGAAUAACUCUGGGAAACCAGAGCUAAUACCGCAUGCCGUGCGCUUGGGGCAUCCCAGGUGCAUGAAAGGAGCAAUCCGGCAGAAGAUGGGCUCGCGUCCGAUUAGGUAGUUGGAGAGGUAAUGGCUCACCAAGGCAACGAUUGGUAGCCGAACUGAGAGGUUGAUCGGCCGCAUUGGGACUGAGACACGGCCCAGACUCCUACGGGAGGCAGCAGUGGGGAAUAUUGCGCAAUGGAGGGAACUCUGACGCAGCAACGCCGCGUGAAGGAUGGAAGGCCCUCGGGUUGUAAACUUCUUUAGACAGGGAAGAAAGAAAUGACAUUACCUGUAGAAUAAGCCACGGCUAACUACGUGCCAGCAGCCGCGGUAAUACGUAGGUGGCGAGCGUUAUCCGGAAUUACUGGGUGUAAAGGGCGCGUAGGCGGGUAUGCAAGUUGGAUGUGAAAUUCCGGGGCUUAACUCCGGAUUGUCAUCUAAAACUGUGUAUCUUGAGUGUCAGAGGGGAAAGUGGAAUUCCUAGUGGAGUGGUAAAAUGCGUAGAUAUUAGGAGGAACAUCGGUGGCGAAGGCGACUUUCUGGCUGACAACUGACGCUGAGGCGC
rnacentral:rRNA from 1 species